GAUGAACGCUGGCGGCGUGCCUAAUACAUGCAAGUCGAGCGAACAGACGAGGAGCUUGCUCCUCUGACGUUAGCGGCGGACGGGUGAGUAACACGUGGAUAACCUACCUAUAAGACUGGGAUAACUUCGGGAAACCGGAGCUAAUACCGGAUAAUAUAUUGAACCGCAUGGUUCAAUAGUUCAAGACGGUUUUGCUGUCACUUAUAGAUGGAUCCGCGCCGCAUUAGCUAGUUGGUAAGGUAACGGCUUACCAAGGCAACGAUGCGUAGCCGACCUGAGAGGGUGAUCGGCCACACUGGAACUGAGACACGGACCAGAAGACUACGGGAGGCAGCAGUAGGGAAUAUUACGCAAUGGGCGAAAGCCUGACGGAGCAAAGCCGCGUGAGUGAAGAAGGUCUUCGGAUCGUAAAACUCUGUUAUUAGGGAAGAAAAAAUGUGUAAGUAACUAUGCACGUCUUGACGGUACCUAAGCAGAAAGCCACGGCUAACUACGUG
rnacentral:rRNA from 1 species